GGGCGGAGAACUAUAUCGCCCAGAAUGCUCCGCGCUCCCCACCGGCAUCUGAGUAAGGAGAGCUGUGAUUGGUCUGUGAGCCGGCGGCACGUGGAGGAGAGUGUGAGAUCCGGAGAGGCUGUCCACUUCCUGUGACCUUUGACCUGCAGACAUGCCCUCUGACCUCGCCAAGAAGAAGGCCGCC